UAACAAGGAUUCCCCUAGUAACUGCGAGUGAAGCGGGAAAAGCUCAAAUUUAAAAUCUGGCGGUCUUUGGCCGUCCGAGUUGUAGUCUGGAGAAGCGUCUUCCGCGUUGGACCGUGUACAAGUCUCUUGGAACAGAGCGUCAUAGAGGGUGAGAAUCCCGUCUUUGACACGGACUACCAAUGCUUUGUGAUGCGCUCUCAAAGAGUCGCGUUGUUUGGGAAUGCAGCGCAAAAUGGGAGGUGAAUUCCUUCUAAAGCUAAAUAUUGGCGAGAGACCGAUAGCGAACAAGUACCGUGAGGGAAAGAUGAAAAGCACUUUGGAAAGAGAGUUAAACAGUACGUGAAAUUGCUGAAAGGGAAACGCUUGAAGUCAGUCGCGUCGUCCGGAACUCAGCCUUGCUUCGGCUUGGUGCACUUUCCGGUUGACGGGCCAGCAUCGAUUUUGACCGCUGGAAAAGGGCUGGAGGAAUGUGGCACCUUCGGGUGUGUUAUAGCCUUCAGUCGCAUACAGCGGUUGGGAUCGAGGAACGCAGCACGCCUUAUGGCUGGGGUUCGCCCACAUUCGUGCUUAGGAUGCUGGCGU
rnacentral:rRNA from 1 species